rnacentral:rRNA from 1 species
CAGCCGUAAACGAUGCGCGUUAGGUGUAUCGACGACCACGAGUCGUCGAGGUGCCGAAGGGAAACCGUGAAACGUGCCGCCUGGGAAGUACGGUCGCAAGGCUGAAACUUAAAGGAAUUGGCGGGGGAGCACCACAACAGGUGGAGCCUGCGGUUUAAUUGGACUCAACGCCGGAAAUCUCACCGGAUAAGACAGCAGAAUGAUUGCCGGGCUGAAGACUCUGCAUGACUAGCUGAGAGGUGGUGCAUGGCGUCGUGACU